rnacentral:tRNA from 1 species
GCCGAAGUGGCGGAAUUGGCAGACGCGCCAGGUUCAGGACCUGGUUCCCGUUAAGGGAGUGGAGGUUCGAGUCCUCUCUUCGGCA